rnacentral:rRNA from 1 species
CGAAUACCGGAAGUAGUCGGGUCUUAUCGGAUUGAUCCCGGCUGCCUGGGUGUUCCAGGAAAUAGCCCCAGCAUAAGACCGUACCCCAAACCGACACAGGUGGGUAGGUAGAGUAUACUAAGGGGCGCGAGAUAACUCUCUCUAAGGAACUCGGCAAAAUGACUCCGUAACUUCGGGAGAAGGAGUGCCUUAUUUAUAAGGUUGCAAUAACAAGAUCCAAGCAACUGUUUAUCAAAAACACAGGUCUCCGCUAAGUCGUAAGACGAUGUAUGGGGGCUGACGCCUGCCCAGUGCCAGAAGGUUAAAGAAGUUGGUUAGUGUAUGCGAAGCUGAUGACUGAAGCCCUGGUGAACGGCGGCCGUAACAAUAACGGUCCUAAGGUAGCGAAAUUCCUUGUCGGGUAAGUUCCGACCCGCACGAAAGGCGUAAUGAUUUGGAUACUGUCUCGGAGAGAGGCUCGGUGAAAUAGACUUGUCUGUGAAGAUGCGGACUACCUGCACCAGGACAGAAAGACCCUAUGAAGCUUUACUGUAACUUGAAAUUGGAAUUGGACUUUGCUUGCGCAGUAUAGGUGGGAAGCGUUGAAGAUAUUCUUGCGGGAGUAUUGGAGCUAUCAGUGAGAUACCACUCUUGUAAUGUUAGAUUUCUAACUUUGAACCAUAAUCUGGUCAAAGAACAGUUUCAGGUGGGCAGUUUGACUGGGGCGGUCGCCUCCCAAAUGGUAACGGUGGCGUACAAAGGUUUCCUCUGAACGGAUAGAAAUCGUAUCUAGAGUGUAAAGGCAUAAGGAAGCUUGACUGUGAGACCUACAAGUCGAGCAGGGACGAAAGUCGGUCUUAGUGAUCUGACGGUACUGAGUGGAAAGGCCGUCACUCAACGGAUAAAAGUUACUCUAGGAUAACAGGCUGAUCUCCCCCAAGAGUUCACAUCGACGGGGAGGUUUGGCACCUCGAUGUCGGCUCAUCGCAUCCUGGGGCGGUAGUACGUCCCAAGGGUUGGGCUGUUCGCCCAUGAAAGCGGUACGCGAGCUGGGUUCAGAACGUCGUGAGACAGUUCGGUCCAUAUCCGGUGUAGGCGUUAGAAUGUUGAGAGGAGCCUUCUUUAGUACGAGAGGACCGAGAAGGACACACCGCUGGUGUACCAGUUAUCGUGCCAACGGUAAACGCUGGGUAGCUAUGUGUGGAGUGGAUAACCGCUGAAAGCAUCUAAGUGGGAAGCCCACCUCAAGAUGAGUAUUCU